rnacentral:rRNA from 1 species
UUUUAACGGAGAGUUUGAUUCUGGCUCAGAACGAACGCUGGCGGCGUGGAUAAGACAUGCAAGUCGGACGGGAUUUCUUUUGGUAGCAAUACCGAAGGAAGUCCAGUGGCGAACGGGUGCUUAACACGUGGGCAAUCUGUCUUAAAGUGGGGGAUAGCUCGGCGAAAGCCGAAUUAAUACCGCAUGUGAUUAGAGUGGACAUCCAUUCAAAAUCAAAGUCGGGGCAACCUGACGCUUUUUGAGGAGCCCGCGGCCUAUCAGCUAGUUGGUGAGGUGACGGCUCACCAAGGCUUUGACGGGUAGCUGGUCUGAGAGGACGACCAGCCACACUGGGACUGAGACACGGCCCAGACACCUACGGGUGGCAGCAGUCGAGAAUUUUUCUCAAUGGGGGAAACCCUGAAGGAGCGACGCCGCGUGGAGUAUGAAGGUCUU